rnacentral:rRNA from 1 species
AUUGAACGCUGGCGGCAGGCCUAACACAUGCAAGUCGAACGAGUGGCGGACGGGUGAGUAAUGUCUGGGAAACUGCCUGAUGGAGGGGGAUAACUACUGGAAACGGUAGCUAAUACCGCAUACCAUCGGAUGUGCCCCGAUGGGAUUAGCUAGUAGGUGGGGUAACGGCUCACCUAGGCGACGAUCCCUCGCUGGUCUGAGAGGAUGACCAGACAAACUGGAAAGGAGGCACGGUCCAGACUACUACGAGAGGCGGCAGUGGGGAAUAUGGGACAAUGGGCGGAAGACUGAUGCAGACAUGCCGCGUGUAUGAAGAAGGCCUGCGGGUUGUAGAGUAAUUUCAGCGGGGAGGCGUUACCCGCAGAAGAAGCAACGGCUAACUCCGUGCCAGCCGCCGCGGUAAUUC